GAUGGUCCUCUCCUGGUACUUUUGGUUUCUGGUUGUAGUUAUAUUUUUCAAGUUGGAACAAUCAAGCCAGAAGAGAUGGAGACAAGAAACUUCUGAUCUCAUUUGUCGUGUUUCAGAGAGAAUUUCCACAACUUGAAAUGCUGUGGCUGGGAAGGUUCUUCGGAAGUCCAAAGCGUAUCAAGAUUUUAGUAUCUUUUUGCAGGAAUCUGUAACUGUAAAAAAGUGUAACAUAGUCUUGGAAAGUUCAAAUGUUUUGUUCCUGUCAAUAAAGAGUUUUUAGUAUUAGUUCUAAGUAUUUCAGCCUUUGAAUCUUUUUUUACCUCCCACAUGUAUGGGGGCU